CGAGUCUCAGUUUGGAAUCAGAAAAGAAGUGAUGCAAACCUUUUUAAGCUUUGGAAGGGAGGGAAGCCCGGGCAGACCCAGGAUGUGACUUGAAAGGUUGGCUGCUUCUCUCUUGCUUGCUCUCCCCCUGGCCCGCUGUGGCCUGCCCUCUUGGGCCCACCCUCCGCUUCAAAUCCUGCCAGACGACUGACAGGCCUGCAGGACCUCGAGGCUGACCCAGACACCUCCAGGCAGGGCUGCAACCUCCACACAGAAGAAGCACAUUCUGCGCACAGGUUUGCUUCGCAGACUGAUUCAAAUCCCACUUCAGGCCCAAAUCCCAAUUACUGGACAUGCCGAAUGUAAGUUUGCCAAGCCAAACUCAGCGAGAAGACUGCAGGCUUUCUCCACCGCGUGGCAUCAUCAGAGGGAUAAACCAUGAGCCUGGUCUAAUGAGCAAUGAAACACUUUGUAAAUAUUUGAUUUAAGGGGAUGCGAAUAGUAAAAUAACGUGGAGCUGAUGUCUGCAAUGACUUUUGAACUUUCCUCCUAACUACAGUCACAUGUGUUUUACACAUCAGCUGUGUUCCUGAAAAGUCGGGUUUCAAUCCAUAUGCUAAGUGGAAUUAUGUUUCAGAUGUUCUAGGGAUACUCUUGACUUGGGGAAACCAGGAAUCAGUGAAGAGGCUACGGACAAAGCCUCACCCACGACCGCUUCGUCUCUGCUCAGUUUGGACGGCGCCCUCUGCCCCCGGCCGAGGCCGAGCCUUUGAGGACGCAGAGUCAGCACCGGCAGCGGUUCAUUUCAUCGCUGGGUCUGCGGAGGAAAGGGCUGGUCCUAGGGAAGGGUCAAAGGCAGGCUGUUUUGUUUUCUAGCAGCAAAACAGAGAAGGCUGGAGGAAACCACCCAAGCGCCAAGCUCUGCAGAGGGCAAGUGAAGUCGGAGUUUAAAAACAAAAGCGGAGGAGCCUAUCUCCUUGAAGCUGUUUAUAUUACAUAACUCAAAUAAACACAGCAGCGCAGGCAUGGUUCCCUCGGUGAGGGCCAGGACCACAGAGCCCAGAGGCGGACAAAGGGCACCUCCUCCAGCCUCUGGCUAGAAAUGGCUCCUUUAAAACAACAACAGCAGCAUUAAUAAUAUUCGGGGACACACCAGGACAAUUCAGGAGGACAGCCUGAAUAAACUGAGUAGAGGACUCAUGCUAAUUAGGACUUGUAAGGUGACUUUCUUUUCUCUUGCUAAGGAAAGAAAUCCUCAUCAGAGCAAUGGGGAGAAGCAAAGUUGACCCAAAACGGCUAUUUGCAUUUUGCAAAGGGGGGACAAGAGGCACUCGAUCCUGCCAUGAAAUCCUGCAGGAGCACGGAGGCCACUUUCUCAGGCACUUGGGGGGGCAGCUGGCUUUCUGACUUCAGCCCCUCCUCAGCCCGGGGUGAUGGGAAGCAUUGGGCAGUUUUAUGGAAUCUGCCUGAAGAAUAAAGAACAUGAAAGAAAAGUUAGCCACUCAGUAAAUGGACACAGACCUACAGGCCCGGCGUCUGAACGAAAUCAGAGAGUCUUGAAAUUGAGAGCAGGCAAGAACCGACUGCAACCUUUUUCGUCAGUCGCCUGCAGUGUCCCAGGACAGCAACCCUAUCGUAUGCCAGGGGACAAGAAUAGAAAGAAAAAUUGAGAACACAGCCCUGAGCACGGGCUGGCGGUAUCCAUUGCCAGCAGUUGCCCCAUUAGUAGGCUAUGGGGACAUGCGAGGGAAUUUUUCUGUACGAGGCUUGUGUUUAAAAAUAUAUCUUGCUUCAACGCUGGUGCGGGAGUGGCUGGGGAAUGAGAGCCUGCUUUCUCCGCGCAGAGCAGUUUGCUCAUUCUUCUGUGAUUUACUGCACGGCACUCACCUCUCUGAGGCCGCCCCUCAUAUGCCACAUGACAGUGACCAAGACCUCAACCUGGCUCUUAGAAAGCUAACACGUAGGACGAUUCCUGGACGAAAGCCACGCUCCAGAAACAUCCUCCCCAGUGGCUUGCUGGAAGCACACGGGGCCGGGGACGGAGGCUGAGAGGAACGCUUCCCCACCAAGGCCUCUCUGACCCUUCUCACUCCAUGGAUGUGUCCCCGGGGAUGCUUCCCUCCCCAUGUCCUUAUUCUCAAAAGGAGGACACCAGUUCCUACCUACCUCUUAAGGGCGUUCAGGUGUAAUAGCUGAUGGAAAUGACUUAAAAGCCCUUGGCAAAUACAAAGUUCGAGAUCGAGUGCUGAAUGGUGGCCUCCCUCACCUACCCUACCUAAGGCGUUACUUAUGUGCCCCCACCUUUAAACCCUUUGCUGAAAGACUGCUCCGUGGGGUGUGAAGCUGGUCUGUGCCGAAGAAAUCUCAGGUUCCUCCAGAGAAGUUUGCCUUUGCAGGAACUGCUGAAAUCCUUACAUGUCCAAACGCAUAUUCUGGGUAGGAAACAACAGGUGAUGAGCUGCAAGGCUGAGAGGCUGCCAGGAUCCACCCAUGGGCACCCAGGGUUUGGCACCCGUUUCCCAGGGAGAGAUGAAAGGGAACAAAUCAACACGGCAGGGUCAAGUUCAAGUCUGCCUCAAUGAAACUCUGGAGACCUCCUUCUUGAAAAACAACUGGGACAGUGUGACAGCUGUUUAAGGAUGCCAAAGAAAAGUGUCCCCGGGGAAAGCUCCCCGGGGAAUGCUCUGUUUGCAAGAGGCAGUUGUGAGUGACACACAAGACAGACAGCCAGGAGCGGGGACAGCCCGGCCCCUGUGAACUCUCCAACGUCCCUGGGAUCGGGACCACCCACCAGAUGUGAAGGCUUGUAUUUCGUGCCGAGGAUGAUGGCACUGAUAGCCGUGCUGAUGGCUGCUGUUCUUCGGUGCCUGUUAGAAACGGGAUUGCUCUGAAGCCGUGGCUCCUGGAGGGGUCCUUCCUGGGAAACGUUUACCACUUUGGACGCCCCACAGCUCCUGUGGUUGUUUCCUCUGAGGGUCUUUAUCAACCAGACACAAAUCAGGUUUUAUGGUUGCCCGUUAUUUGCGGCUACUUCACUUUUUUAAUUCUUAAUUUUUGGCCACGAGGCUUGUGGGAUCUUAGUUCCCCGACCAAGGAUCGAACCCACACCGGCUGCAGUAGAAGUGCUGAGUCCUAACUACUGGACCACCAGGGAACUCCCUGCGGCUACUUUAUAAUCUGGCCAGUGCUUCCCUGUGGCAAAUGGGUGAUGGGACAUCAAGACAAGAGGAUGGGGACAACGUGUCCAUCCAGAGAUGCUACACCCUGGAGGUGAAGGCGGACCACACGAUGGUCCCCGUUUGUGUGGGAGCUGCCACCUCUGAAGCAGGCUGGGUGGAUGUGUCUCAUGGAAAGCACUGGACUUGGGUCCCAAAGACUUGGAUCUGACUCCCGGACCAACCACUUCCUAGCAGUAUGGAGUGGGGCACAUUAGUGAACCUUUCUGACUCUCAGUGGUCUCACCUGUAAACUGGAGCUGAGACCUACCUGUCAGGGCAGUUAGGGAGUUCCAAGGAAGCACCUCACUCCCAGAGACACAAUAAACAUUAGCUGAAAUGGCAAAAUCUGAUUCGGUAUAUGGGCGUGACCUCACCUCCAAGGGCGUUAAACUCAGUCACCUAGCAGGUAGGGUGUCCUCCUGUCUCACCCCCAAGAGCAGGGGCGCAGAGCCCGGAAGUCAGCCUGCCACCUCCCCACCAAGAGCUGGUGACGGAGCCCAGGCCGAGCCGGAGCUGCGCGUCCCCGGUGAUCCAGAGCGCCUGCCACCACGCGGUUGUGAGCUUUUCCAGAGCACGCGGCUUGGACCAUUUGCCUGAGCUCCAUCGCUCCCAGCUACUCAGGGGUCAUCUCUUUCCUCCAGGCCCCUAGGGCACCACUCUGGGAACUGAAGCCCCAGAAAAAGUGCAAAGAGAAGGAAGCUCAGCGUUAUAUUCUUUCUAGAUGAAUCUCCAGGACGCGGCCGCCCCAGGAGAGUCCCCGACCGGCAGCAAACCUGUCUGUGUCAGUCUGCCUCAACACGCUAUUUGGAAAGUCAAGAUUUUCAAUGUAAACUUUGUUCUCCCUUCCCAUUCUUUGGGGAUUCACAGUUGGAGCUCUUUGCAGCCCUUCCUCUCCACGUCUCCUUGGUGCUGAAAUGGGAGGUCACGCGACAUCCCUGUAAGAACAAGUCCCGGGUGCCGGCGUCCUAUCAGAGGGCAGAGCUGCGGCGGCGCUGGCUCCUGGGUUUGCCUGGGUGCUGGUUUCUCAGCGGCACUAUCUUUGGCAGAUUUUUUUAUCCUUGUUCUUUAUCUCAAGCCCGUCGGGCAAAUGACAGCGGAAUCGCAAGCUUGAAUGGGCUUGUCUGACAGGCCAGCUUUUCUCCUGGGCUCAGCUGCCUGACUUUUAAAAAGGCACCCCAAGCAGAGGAUAGUCAUUUCACACCGAUUCCUUGCUGUAAUUUGCUUUUGGGUUUAAAAUGUCGCGUUUCCAUCACCCUGGCUGUGCGGCGUGAGGGAGAAGAUGGGCCAUGCGUGUGGUUAAUGUCUCUGUAAUAGAGACACGCAAAGGCACUGCUAUGCUCUGAAGCAACAGCCCUGGGAACACUGAGCUGCAGACCAAGGAACUCUCUACCAGCCACAGACAAGUGCAUUCAAAGGGCUCUGUAACAGAUGACUGGCUCCCGCAGAAAUAGGGCCACUUGUAACAGAAGCCUCACGUGGAAAUCUCCACUAGGCAAGCAUGUAUUAGAAUAUUUUUAUGCUCCAGGCUGUGUGAAGUUGGGGUGGUCUUAGGAAACCCUGCAAAGCGAGAGGAUCUGAAACCCAGAUCUAAACACAGUGAGGCUCAGAUGAAGUCCAGCUGGGGAUGCAAAAUCCCACUCGGAUAAGGGGAAGCUGGAGGAUACAGGCCAAAAGGGAAAGAAGUCCCCACGCUGAUGAGCACGGAUAAGGCUGUGCUUGGAGAAUCCUCUAAGCAAAAGGACAGAGGCUCCCGGAAAGGUCAAGGGACAGGGUUGUACCCAGUUUGGCAGCGGGAAGCAAUGGCUUUUCCUGAUUGAUAAUCUGCCCGUGGAAGCAUCUCUCCCGUUUCUUCACCACCUCUCACCACACUCGUGAUGGAGGCCGUACUGCCUGACGCUUAAUUAGUCUUCCUGCCCAGAGCCUGUAAUGUUUCACGUUUCUUACUCCUCGCCUGGCCUGUGUGUGCCUUGAGGUCAGGAAUCAGCAUGCAGCCCUCUCUGCGUGCCCUGAGGCGCCUUCCCAGGGCUUAAUAACUACCCAGAGCAUAUCAGAGCCCUUCGCACACGGCUCACAAAGCUUCAGGAGUACUAGCGGGAUUGCGUAAGGCUCAGGCGUAAGGCUCAGGCAGGCUGCUUCGAGGGGAACAAAUCCCAGCUCGUUCUCGGUGGGAUACCAGGCUGCUGAUGGUCUCUCCCACCCGCCUUCUGUGCCUUCCUGGCCGGGACACCAUAUGUUAUAUAGGCCAGCUGAGCAGAACCGAAUGCCCUCGGGCCUCUGGGUCUUUGCACACACGCUUCUCUCCACCUGGUUGCCCUUCCCUCAUUCAUCCAUCUGUGGACUUGUCCGCUCAGCUCCAGGUCAACCCUCCCCUCCAGACAAAGCUUCAGGCGUCCCGCGGGCAGAGCCGGUGACGCCCUGUGCUGUGGGCCCAGGGUACUUGGCCUGACGCGGCGACUGGGCCACCUUCCCUGCCAUCGGGUCGGUACUGCCUGUUGGCAGGUCUGUCUCUUCCGUCGGGCUGUGAGUGCCUUGAGGGCAGGACCCACGUUCCUCCUUGCCCCUCAGCUCUCGGUCCUCAGCACAGUGCCUGGCACCAGUACAAGUUUAUUGAAGGAAUAUGUUUGCCCACAUUGGGUAGAUCGUGGGGAAGACGGGACCGGGGCCCAGUAAGUAAUAUGGGGACAGAGCAAAAGGGAUCCUGCUGGGAGAGAAGCAAGCUGCAGAGAGAAGCAAGGCCCCGGGGCCCCUCUUGAUGAGCUAGGGCACCCAGGACCGAUCCUACACAGGAUGCUUGUGAUGUCAUCCUUUGGAUAGCUUGUCCCACUUUGGGGGUUUCUCUGUAUUUCCUUCCAAGUCUUUAGGCAAACUUCUCUUACUGCUUUCAGGUACUCUGCCCACCAAGAUCAUUAUUAAUAGUUUCCAGGGAUAGACUGGUGGCGGCGGGUAGCAGUGCAUUGGCUGGGGGACCAGGAGGAGAGAGUAGCAGUAGCCCUGGAUGGGGGCGGGGGGUGGAAGAGGAUACGAUUAGGAUCGCGGACCCCAGCCUGGCUUCGGAUCCCAGCCGAAAAGAAGCAGUGAGAGGGCCUCAGCCUCCCUGCCUGGGCCAAGAGUGAUGGCUCUAUCGCUGAGUUGCUCAGAACAUUGAGCAAAUUAGUGCAUGGAAGCUUCCAGAGUGGGGCCUGGCACAUAGUAGUUGCUGCUGAAAUCCAGGUCCUGUCAUCUGGAACCAGAAGCUGGAGUCCAGCCUGGCUUUCUCCACCUGUGAGUUGUCUGACCCGGGUAGGUCACGUCACCUCACCUCUCCACUCAUGUUCUCUCGACUCUGAUAUGGAGACAGAAAUGCUGACCUCGUGGGCCAUUGUGAGAAUCAAGGAGAGGAUGGGAGUGAAUGUGUUUUGUAAAAGCUAUGAGGUGCUUUCCGGAGGUGCUUGUGAAGUUACCUGGGUGAAGGUUGGGAAGGUGAGGACACCUCAGAUAUCCUGCCUCUGUGGAGUCAAUGAUUGUGUAUUAACUUUAAAUAGGGCCUAUUAGGUACCCCCAAGCAAACCGUGACUCUCGUUGUGAUGGCCGGUUCUGUGGGUCAAAUUGGCUGGACCACAGUACCCAGAUAUUUAGUCAGACCUUAUUGUGUCCGUGAGGGUGUUUUUGGAUGAGAUAAACAUUUAAAUCAUUGCACUUUGAGUAAAGCAGAUUACCCUCCGUAAUGUGGGUGGGCCUCAUCCAAUCAGUCAAAGACCUGAAUAGAACAAAAGACUGAUGGCCCCCAAGGAAGAGGGAAUUGUGCCAGCAGACAGCCCGUGGACUUGAAGUGCAGCCCUGGCUCUGCUGCGGGUCUCCAACCUGCUGGUCUACCCAAGUCCAGACUUUGGAUUUGCCAAGCUCCAAUGUUGCAUGAACCAGUUCCUUAAAAAUCAGUCUCUCUCUCUCUUCCUUCUUCUCCCUCUGUACACACGUGGGCGCGUGCAUGCACGCUACUGGUUCUGUUUCUCUGGAGCACACUAACUAAUACACCCAGAAACAUUAGGAAUCCUCAGAUAGCUUUAAACUGUAUCCUCUGACAGUCACAGUGAACGUGAAUCUCACAGGGUGCCGCUUUCAAACACAGCUGGUCCAAUCUAAGCUUGAUUGCCCUCCCUCACCCAUUCCUCACCAUGGAAACCACAUAAAGAUUCUUGCCCACAGGUCCCCCCAGCUCCCUCUGCCUCUUGACUGACCUGGUGCUUCCCCAUGUGGCCCUGCAUGGUGUCUUAUGUUCUCCCCAAGGAACCGCUGAAGAGGAGUGUCGCAUGCAUGUGCGGGCGUGGGAGAAGGGCCAGUUGAAGGCACUGUUGCUGUGGGUUUUUUGAAACUCUCCAAGUCCCUCACACGCCCAUGGUCGCUAUCACCCAGGCAGGACUGCUUGACAGAGCACGUGAUAGAGCGGAACUUAAUGAAGGGAUCCUAGAUGCUAGAGGGCGGAAAACAAGCCCUUCUCUUGUCUUCACGAUACCUUCCAGUGUCAGGACACGGGGUCACUGGAUGGAGCUCAGGACAAAGAAAUGGAAAUAAACCACCGCUGGAGGUGCCGCUUCCCCGUUUCCGACGACCAGUCAGACUAUCUGCCUGGCUUCGGCUGCGGGUCCUGAGUUAAACGUUACAGCUGAUGGGCUGGGUGAAUCCAUGAUCAAUAGUGAUGCUGGUUCUUACAGGAGCUAAGAUAAGGGUAAUUAAAUCCUGUGCUUCGGGCCAUAUAAACUGAUCUCUGCAGGAGGGCGAGAAUUAAUUUAAUUUCACAUGCACAGCCCUGUCCGGUGCCUCCACCAGCUUUGUAUGAUAGACCCAGCGCGUGGCAGAGACGGUAGAGGGAAGGCGGAAAGAUUUGUUCCGAGCUCGAGGUGUUAUUAACCACCACACACAUCAAGAGCCUGAACUUGAUGGGGCCCAAGGCUGAUCUAGGGGGGCAAAUCCAGAGAUUCUUACAGCUUCUCCCUCUAUUGGGUUUAUUACACACAAUCUGUACCGGGACUGUUUUCACACUUAAUGGCAAUCCUGAAUCACUAUCUACUUCCCAUUUUCGCCUGCAAAACAGCAACCCAGAGCUAGUGUUCCGCCAUAAACACUCGGCCCCAUGAAGCCACGGCUGUAUAGACUUGCCUUUUUGUGCGUCUGUGUCUGAUUCACUGGCGCUUUGGCAGCCUUCCAGGAUCUAGGAGAGGAAAAAAACCAUCCUGAGCAUCCCAACAGCCUCAUUUUGAUCUGUGAUACCGAGCAACUCAUUUCCACUUCACAGGCUCUGCUGAGCUGUGCUACAGAAAGACAAAUCCCAGCCGAAGAAAGGGCGGGCGGGAGGAUGGUGGAGGAGACAGAGGGAGGGGAGGGGAGAGCAGAAAAAGGCCGCAUCUAUUAAGCUGUUUUUCUUUUGGUGAAAAGAAGCAUUUAUCAGUGAUUUCAUAUAUCAUGUGAGAGGUGGCUUCCUGCCAAUUUCCAAGAAUCCAAACAGCCCACUGACAUCAGAUGCUAAAUAUAGCUCAGCCUUUGCUUUAGGUGAAUAAAUAAUGCUGCUGGAAAGGAA